rnacentral:lncRNA from 1 species
GACGCUGCCCCCGCGCCGCGGGAGGCCCCCGCCGCCCCCGGCCCGGCCGCGGGCGCCGGGGAGUCCUCGCAGGAGGACGAGGAGGAGGAGCUGGAGCUGCAGGACGGCCGCCGCCGGCCUGGGCCUGGCGCUCGGCGACGCCGGGGACCCCGGCCCGCCCGACGCUGCCCCCGCGCCGCGGGAGGCCCCCGCCGCCCCCGGCCCGGCCGCGGGCGCCGGGGAGUCCUCGCAGGAGGACGAGGAGGAGGAGCUGGAGCUGCAGGAGGAGGAGGCCGAGGACGAGGACGACGAGGACGAGGACGACGACGACGAGGACGACGACGACGACGAGGACGACGACGAGGACCUGCGCACCGACUCGGAGGAGUCGCUGCCCGAGGCGGCGGCCGAGGCGGGCGCACGGACCCCGGCGCUGGCGGCUCUGGGCGCCCCCGGCCCCGCGCCCGCCGCCGCGUCGCCCUAGCGCGCCUCUUCCCGCGGCGUCACGUCACUGUCCCCACUGUCCCCGGCGCUCUUUAAAGAAACGCUGUCUCCACGUGAAGCCCCUGAACAGAGCCGCCCGCCCGCCCCGCCGGGCGCCCCGCAGGUGCUUCCGGACCCCGAGUCCGUCUCAGGACAGAGGCGGGGACCCCUCUGGUGCUCGGGCCGCCCCGCCCGGAACGCGCAGCUCCGCGGCGGAGGACAGGCCGCCGCCCCCUGCCCGCCGAGCGGGGUCUUCAGGGAACAGCAGGUGCUCGCCCGGGCGCGCGCUGACCGCCGCCAGCUCUUUGCUCAGGACCGGGGCGGGCGCUGGAGGCCACUGGGACCCCAUCGGCCACCGGGGGCGGGGCCGCCACCUGUAGCGUCUGGCCGGGGGAGCCCCCUUCAUGCAGCUAAGACUUCCCCCCUUGCCCUGGAGAAGGCGGUCAGCAAGGGUGACAGUACAGGGACAUGGAGGAAAUCUGAAGGUAGCAGCAGGCGGGCCCUUCAGUGCGGCUGCACCGCGCUCCAGGGCCAGGCUGCCGCCCCUGCCCCUGCCCCCUGCCCCCUGCCCCCCACCCCCACCCCGUUAAAAAAAAGAGGCUGUGUCCCAACCCACCCAAAUGGAGCCUUGGGGACUGGGGUAUCAGCCACCCUGGUGGUGCAAACAGGAAGGAUGCGGCUGUUUUGGGCUUUAAUAUUCAAAAUGGAAAAAAAUACAAGAAGUUGUACAGUAUUUUUCCUGUAAAGGUUAUUAUUCUACGUAGAGCAAAGGAAAAAAAAAAAAGACAAGCAAAAGCGGGCGGCUGACACCCUGGUGGUGCAAACAGGAAGGAUGCGGCUGUUUUGGGCUUUAAUAUUCAAAAUGGAAAAAAAUACAAGAAGUUGUACAGUAUUUUUCCUGUAAAGGUUAUUAUUCUACGUAGAGCAAAGGAAAAAAAAAAAAGACAAGCAAAAGCGGGCGGCUGAGUGCCACACCCCGCGGACCAGCCUGAGCUUGGAGAAGGGGGUGCGACUUCUCCCGUGGGAUGUUUAGCUUUGAUUUUAGAGGCCUUAGCAGUUUGAGGCUGUCCGUCUUCACACUAGCACUGAUGAGAGCUGCGUGAUUCCAACUUUUAACUUGAAUUUUGUAGAGACAAGAAAAAUGGACUAUUACUGUUGACACGAGUUUGUAGUUAAUUUAACAUUGGAGUUUUCCUCUGUUGGUUAUGCGUGUGGCUUUGCAGGGCUUCUUGCUUGUUGUCCCAGUUUGUCUUCUUAUUUUGCUCGGGAUGCUUCUAGGCUGGUGCAACCCACCCAGAUUCAGCCCCUUUUUCAAACCCCGCCUCCUGGAGGUUCUGAGGCUGUCAGCCCAGUGCAGGGCUAAUGGCAGGCACACACCUGACCUGGCUGCUGCAGUCCCCAGACGGGGCAGGCUGCCCUCCAGCCUCUGUCCCUCUUCUGCACUUCAGGGCCCAGGCCCAGCAGGCAUUAGAGGGGUGGGGUAGAGUCUUAUCUCCCUGAAGCCCCCACCCCAAAGGGCUUCAAGGGCAGUGGUUUUCUUUUUCCUGUGUGUGUGUGUGUGUGUGUGUGUGUGUGUCUCCUCUCAGCUGCCCACAGCUAGAAAGCCAGGACCCCCUGAGCUGGAGAGGGAGCAGGGAGGGAGGAGCAGUCAGUGCACCCGAUUCAACAGGAAGUCAAUUGAUUUCUAAACAGCCCCUACCAGAGCCUCCUGAAUCCUGUGGGCACCACGUGCUGCUGCUGAGCAUUUGCCCAGGCUCUGACCUACCACAGGACUCUGUCUAAGGAGUUUUGUAAAGGAAAAAAACAAAAACAAAAACAAAAAAACAUUUUUCAAUGUAGCAAAAUCAAACAAAAAAUUUAAAAAAAAAAGAAAAGAAAAACGAAGAUGCCGACAGUGCGAAGUCUAGCCUUUUGUAACCUUCAUAUUGCACACUAGGACUAUAAGCCAUUGCUAGCUCAUUUUGAAUUUUAAUGUGUAAUUUUUGUUUUAUUUUCUUUCUGUGGGGAAAAUGAUGCUUGAUCCACCAAUGCUCUUUUUAAUGUUUUAUAACUAUGUAUGUGUAUAUAUAUAAAUAUAAAAUAAUAUGUAUGCACAUAUGUGUGUAUAUAUCUAUAUGUAUAUACAUAUAUAGAUAUAUAGAGAUGUAUAGAGAGGUUUUGAGACAAAAAAAACGCAGAACGUGAAACCGAACUGAACAGCGCGUGCUCUGAUUACUUGAAUCUGGUCUCCUCGGCACCUGGUUAUUAAGAACUGAAUAUUUUUCCACUUGAAUUUAGUGCUAUUAGAAAUUUAAUAUAUGUGUUUUAUUUAUUUGAUUUUUUUUUUUUGCAUGACUGAUGCAAGGUUUGACAUUUUCACUCAAUAAAAACUGG